UACGUAGGGUGCGAGCGUUGUCCGGAAUUAUUGGGCGUAAAGGGCUCGUAGGCGGUUUGUCGCGUCGGGAGUGAAAACACCGGGCUUAACUCGGUGCUUGCUUUCGAUACGGGCAGACUAGAGGUAUGCAGGGGAGAACGGAAUUCCUGGUGUAGCGGUGGAAUGCGCAGAUAUCAGGAGGAACACCGGUGGCGAAGGCGGUUCUCUGGGCAUUACCUGACGCUGAGGAGCGAAAGUGUGGGGAGCGAACAGG
rnacentral:rRNA from 1 species